GCUCUCGUAGUUCAACGGAUAGAACGCGAGUUUGCGGAACUCGUAAUUGAAGUUCGAUUCUUCACGAGAGCA
rfam:Parcubacteria (Moranbacteria) bacterium GW2011_GWF1_34_10 TR51_C0019, whole genome shotgun sequence.